UCCCGGUCCCAGGGUGUGCGAGCCUCUCUUUCCUCCCGCGCCCCUGUCUGAUUUUUUAGUCGGGUGCCAAGAGGGGACCUGACAGCCAGGAGCGGGGUCGCACCCGCUGCGUGGCGCUGGCACCAUGGCCUGCGCCAACAGAUUGUUCACCCUCCUCCGGGAAAGCUAAGAAAACAGCACUAAGCCUUGCAAGCUGCGGCCCAUUAAUGCCUCUUAGCUCGCAAGAUGGGCGACUUGCUCCGAGCCAGGCCCUCCCCCUCCUGGCUUCUGAGAUUCUCCUCCCCCUCGCCCCUUCUGUUUCCCUCCUCUGUGCACCGCGGUCCUCUCGCCUUCGCCCUGCUCUCUCCCUCCUCCCAGCCCCCACACCUUCCUUUUGUUUCCAGUUUCUCUUCACCCUCCCCGCCCCCGGUUUUUUCCCCCUACCCUCUGUUUCCCCCUCUUCCUUUCCUUUCCGCGUUUCCCCCACUUGCUUCGGGUCGUCCGAGGCCAUCCUGCCUUUCAACAGUCCCAGUGCUCCAUAGGCGUCGGGAGCCCCCGCCUGCUCCUCUCUCCUCUCCGUUUCCCUGGUCGACCCUGCAAGUCCCAAGGGACAUCUCCUCUGCAGAACUCCAAAGUAUAUCGCACCUGGGAAGCCAAGGACACACAGACUCCUUUCUGGAAAAGAAGAUGUAUGUUGCAGGAGACGGGAACAUUUUUAAGGCCUGCAGCAGCUAGGAUGUGGAGGUCCACUGCAGUGGGUGCUCUCCUGAACACCUCGCCUACUGCCAGUUGCAAGCGGUCUAGUCCACUUCUGAGAAAACACCACCCAGCCUGUCUUCUCUCCAGGGCCCUGUGGGUAGUUGGCCAUGCUGUCGCCCAGCUUGAGCAAACAGUCUGAAAAGCCCUUAAAGACUGCAUCGCACUUGCCGGCUGCUCUCACGGCCUGCACCAGGUGUGAAAACUUCCGGAAUAAUAGAUCACCUAGCACCCUCAGUCUCAGGCAGCUAUAGCUACCUGUCCCUGAACAUGAAGCUACUGCAGACUCGAGGGAAGGUGACCCAGUCAGCCGCAGCCAGCCGAGAGCUGCGCUUGGCAGAUUGCAGCAGGAAGAACUAGGCGGGACUAGUGCUUUCUAAUCCGGAACGGGAAGCUCUGCGGAAAGGAACGAGGUUAACUUCCACCUCAGCUGGGGCAAACACACAACCUUCCACAGACCUAGACUCUCCUUCACGCCGAUUUUAAAAAACCCUUGGCACUAUAAUAAAAGC